rnacentral:misc_RNA from 1 species
AAUCCUCAACCUUCUCUGUUUCUUUUUGAAUCAGAAAAGGCUUGGACUUUGGAGGUUUCUGCUGGUCUCUCUUGAAGCCAGCUCCUCUUAAAUGUAUUAGCAGGGUCCUCUUGGUCGAUCCUCGACGUGAUAAGAUUCUUUUACGUCGGCUUUGCCUCUUUUGGGACCUACUUCCAAUCGUCUCAGAGUUGCUCUUUGACCUACAAAUGAACC